rnacentral:rRNA from 1 species
GUGAGUAAUUCCUAGGAAUCUGCCUGGUAGUGGGGGAUAACGUUCGGAAACGGACGCUAAUACCGCAUACGUCCUACGGGAGAAAGCAGGGGACCUUCGGGCCUUGCGCUAUCAGAUGAGCCUAGGUCGGAUUAGCUAGUUGGUGGGGUAAUGGCUCACCAAGGCGACGAUCCGUAACUGGUCUGAGAGGAUGAUCAGUCACACUGGAACUGAGACACGGUCCAU